rnacentral:rRNA from 1 species
GAUGAACGCUGGCGGCGUGCCUAAUACAUGCAAGUCGAGCGAACGGACGAGAAGCUUGCUUCUCUUAUGUUAGCGGCGGACGGGUGAGUAACACGUGGAUAACCGACCUAUAAGACUGGGAUAACUUCGGGAAACCGGAGCUAAUACCGGAUAAUAUUUUGAACCGCAUUGUUCAAAAGUAAAAGACGGUCUUGCUGUUACUUAUAGAUGGAUCCGCGCUGCUUUAGCUAGUUGGUAAGGUAACGGCUUACCAAGGCAACGAUGCAUAGCCGACCUGAGAGGGUGAUCGGCCACACUGGAACUGAGACACGGUCCAGACUCCUACGAGAGGCAGCAGUAGGGAAUCUUCCGCAAUGAGCGAAAGCCUGACGGAGCAACGCCGCGUGAGUGAUGAAGGUCUUCGGAUCGUAAAACUCUGUUAUUAGGGAAGAACAUAUGUGUAAGUAACUGUGCACAUCUUGACGGUACCUAAUCAGAAAGCCACGGCUAACUACGUG